GCCGUAAAAUGCAAAACAACGAGGAACGGCCAUGGCGGGUAGGUGACUAUGUUUCCUUAGGUCGUAUUUGAUAGCCCAGAAUAAUUUUAGGCGAUCAGGGUCUGGGGGCCCGGACCCACUCGGAAGGCGUGGGCUAUAGCACACGAAAAUAUGGGAAUCGGGCGGAAUUUCUAGUUUUUUUGGCCGUAAAACGCAAAAAAAUGAGGAACGGCCAUGGCGGGGAGGUGACUAUGGUUCCUUAGGUCGUAUUUGAUGGCCCCGAAUAAUUUUAGGCGAUCGGGGUCUUGGGGCCCGGACCCACUCGGAAGGCAUGGGCUAUAACACACGAAAAUAUGGGAAUCGGGCAAAAUUAUAGUUUUUUGCCAUAAAAUGCAAAACAACGAGGAACGGACACGGCUUGGCAGUGGUUAGUAUGGUUCCUUAGGUCGUAUUUGAUGGCCCCGAAUAAUUUUAGGCGAUCGGGGUCCGGGGACCCGGACCCACUCGGAAGGCAUGGGCUAUAGCUCACGACAAUAUGGGAAUCGAGCGAAUUUCCAGUGUUUUGGCCAUAAAAUGCAUAACAACGAGGAACGGCCAUGGCGGGACGGUGACUAUGGGUCCUUAGGUCGUAUUUGAUGGCU
rnacentral:lncRNA from 1 species